UCACCCACACCCAUGAUCCUUCCUUAAAUUGAUGAGUGCAGCAGAACCUUUCAAAAGAGCAAAAAAGAAAAGCAACUGGCACAGUACAAAUGGGUCACUGUUCAUCAGCAGCUCUGUUAGCGAUGGUGGCGUUGACCCUGUUGACCACAACUCACGGCAUCAACAACAACAGCAGCGGCGGCAGGGACACGUGGUGCGACGGCCUCAGCGACCCAUCAUGCCUCAUUGCAAACAGCGACUUGGACGGCAUGGAGUUCCUGAUGGACUCGGAAAUCAGCAGAAGGAUCUUGGCCGGACAUCCAAGUGUAACCAGACCGGCACUAGAUCCCAGCAAAGCGGCGUCGUGUGAUCGGAGGGGUUUCCCUCCUUGCCAUCCCGGCUCCAACAGAAAUCCCCCGGCGCCCAAUUGCGAUCAGACAAGGUACAAUCGCGAGUGCUACCGCAAUUGACGACCCAAACGACGUAAUUUCAUCUUGUGCCAAAUUUGGGUGCAACUUGUGUGUGCUAGGUUUGGUGGUUGCAAGUAGUAAGUACAGAAUAAAGGUUCAAUUGAUAUGGUGUGUUAACUGUAUCAAUGAAAUUGUUGUAAGUGUGUAUUGAGAUUAUCUUGUCUUGUGUUCAUGUUUAUGAUUUGGAGAUUCAAUUGUUUUUACUUUUCUGUGUAACAAAGGAUUUGUGAAGAAGACCAAAUAAUUUCUCAAUGAUUUAAGAUUAAAAAAAUGGCCACUGGUGGUGUGUGUCUGUGUUUAGUGGGUAUGCAUUGCAAUUUGCAAGGAUAUUGAAAUCCUAACUAGACUUCAUUAAAUUGUGGGUUAAAUACUAAACUCUGUUUUGUCCAUUCCAUCAAAUUACUAUUAAAAAAUGUUUCCUUAAUAGCAAUGUGGACCGUAGGAAGACCCAGCGGAGGAGGGGGACGAGCAGGGGAAAUCGAGGGUGGUGGGCCGAUCUCCAUGGCCUCAUGGUGGCAGCUCGGACAGCUAUGGUGGUUGGGGUGGUGACUGUAACAGGAGAUGGGACAGGUCACUUGUGAGUUUUUGAAGUCAAGUCAAUUAGGAUUUUAGAUGAUUUUAAAAGACUUUAAAAAUUCUGGUGUGGUUCUAAAAUACAUACACUACCGGACAAGUAAGCUACAGCUUUUGUUCUCCAUGGGGUCCACUGGGUUUCACUAGCUUCAAUCAACUCCAUACAGUUGUGAACUUGGUUGCAAAUGCUCUGGCCGGGCUUGGCCUUUUGGAGCCCUCUCCCCCACCAAACUUUUAAGCCCAGCUCCUCCAUUACCGACUUCAGAACCCCAAAAAUAAAAAAAAUAAAAAAUUGAACUUUUACACUAUGAUGCUAUGAGAUAAGAUUUCUAGAUCCGUCCCUUUUCAAGGAAUUUAUAUUUUUCUUCCACCAGUACGUAAAUAAUGUUAUACACGUGUCAACCUGUAAUUUGUGUGUUAGAAAGAGAUGUGCAGCACAAGAAGAAGAAAAAAAAACAGGAGUGACUCAGGAACAGCUCUGUCAGCUAUGAAGGUGAUGAUGGUCAUGACCCUGCUGACCACCACAAGUCAUUGCAUUAACAUCAACGGUAGCAUUGUCAGCCGCGGCGGCUACUUCUCUUCUUCGAGGUGUAACGGUCUCACCGGCACGGCAUGUCGUAUUGCAUACUCCGAGUUGGACUUUGACUUGGAGUUCAUGUUGGGCUCGGAAUUCAGCAUAAGGCUCCUCGCGGAUGGCGGUUCCUACCACCCCACCGAUACAUCAAGAGAAAGGGGAAGCUCUGCGUCCUGCAACCGAUUUGGUAAGGACGAUCCCUGCCAUGGUCGGGAAAACAAAAACAUCCCACCAGGUUGCAAGGACCUCACCGAUAGGUCUUGCAACCGCCAUAAUUAGUAAGCCAAUCACUACUGGAUGGAUGGAUCCAUGCGUUAGAUCGUGUGCAAGCUUAUAAGUUAUAUAAGUGGUGUCUUUUUUUUCUUUCUGUGUACGUAGAGAGUUUGUGUUGGUACGUCUCUGCAUUUGGUUUCUCUUUUUUGUUUUCUUUUUAAAUAUUAAUGGAGGAAGAGAGAUUCGACUUCCACAGUUAAGAAGAUGGAGUUGGUUGGUUCUUCAAGUAUGGAUAUUUUGUGUUAUAUUAACCAUUUGUGAUAGAAACUCACAUCUUGACUUAAUAGACAUUUUGGGGAAAUUGGAUGGAC